UACGUAGGGUCCGAGCGUUGUCCGGAAUUACUGGGCGUAAAGAGCUCGUAGGUGGUUUGUCGCGUUGUUCGUGAAAACUCACAGCUUAACUGUGGGCGUGCGGGCGAUACGGGCAGACUUGAGUACUGCAGGGGAGACUGGAAUUCCUGGUGUAGCGGUGGAAUGCGCAGAUAUCAGGAGGAACACCAGUGGCGAAGGCGAGUCCCUGGACAACUCCUGACACUGAGGCACGAAAGCUAGGGGAGCAAACAGG
rnacentral:rRNA from 1 species